UCCCUAUGGGGUGCAGCAGGCGCGAAACCUCCACAAUGCGCGAAAGCGUGAUGGGGUUAGCCCGAGUGCUAUCCGAAAAGGAUGGCUUUUCCUUGGCGUAAAAACCCAGGGGAAUAAAGGGGGGGCAAGACUGGUGUCAGCCGCCGCGGUAAUACCAGCUCCCUGAGUGGUAAGGACGAUUAUUUGGCUUAAAGCGUCCGUAGCCGGCUUAGUGAGUCUUUUGUUAAAUCCAAUGAUUUAAUCAUUGAACUGCAAGAGAUACUGCUAUGCUAGAGGACGGGAGAGGUCGACGGUAGUCCAGGGGUAGGGGUGAAAUCCUAUAAUCCUUGGAGGACCACCAGUGGCGAAGGCGGUCGACUAGAACGUGCCUGACGGUGAGGGACGAAAGCUGGGGGAGCGAACCGGAUUAGAUACCCGGGUAGUCCCAGCUGUAAACGAUGCGGGCUAGGUGUAGGGGCAGCUACGAGCUGCUCCUGUGCCGCAGAGAAAUUGUUAAGCCCGCCGCCUGGGGAGUACGAUCGCAAGAUUGAAACUUAAAGGAAUUGGCGGGGGAGCACCACAAGGGGUGAAGGCUGCGGUUUAAUUGGAUUCAACGCCGGAA
rnacentral:rRNA from 1 species